GGCGACGUAGCCAAGCGGUCUAAGGCGGGGGUCUGCAAAACCUCUAUUCGGCGGUUCGAAUCCGCCCGUCGCCUCCA
rnacentral:tRNA from 3 species